GACGAACGCUGGCGGCGUGCUUAACACAUGCAAGUCGAACGGAAAGGCCUUGCUUUUGUGGGGUGCUCGAGUGGCGAACGGGUGAGUAACACGUGAGUAACCUGCCCUUGACUUUGGGAUAACUUCAGGAAACUGGGGCUAAUACCGGAUAGGAGCUCCUGCUGCAUGGUGGGGGUUGGAAAGUUUCGGCGGUUGGGGAUGGACUCGCGGCUUAUCAGCUUGUUGGUGGGGUAGUGGCUUACCAAGGCUUUGACGGGUAGCCGGCCUGAGAGGGUGACCGGCCACAUUGGGACUGAGGUACGGCCCAGACUCCUACGGGAGGCAGCAGUGGGGAAUAUUGCACAAUGGGCGGAAGCCUGAUGCAGCAACGCCGCGUGCGGGAUGACGGCCUUCGGGUUGUAAACCGCUUUCGCCUGUGACGAAGCGUGAGUGACGGUAAUGGGUAAAGAAGCACCGGCUAACUACGU
rnacentral:rRNA from 1 species